AUGUCUCCCUCCAGCCCCCGUGACUUGAGCCGGGGCCUGACGCUUACCCCCAAGAGCAGGGGUUGUGGAAGCAGGGGGACCGUGCUGCCUUCAAAUACGCUGAACAGGGGGCUUUCCCUGGCUCCGUCAUCCCCAGGUAUGUCUGUGGGGUUGGUCCCUGCCCUGGUUUCUUGGGACACCAAUGUGACCUUCUGUGGGGGGCUGGGAGGGGGAUUGGGGGCUUGGCUCAGCAAGAGGCAGCGUAUUGAGGGCUUGUUGGGGACCUGCUGGGGGAGCUGGGCUUCUCCCACCUGUUGGGGGAGAGAUCUGUUCACUCAGGGGCAAGCAGUGGCCCUGGUGGGGUUUCUGUGUGUGAGGGGGUGGCAGUUGCGCUUGCAGAUCCCCCUGCUAAUUCUGGGUCAGGGCUUGGGGCGUUUCCUGCCCACAGAAGCACUGGCAGGCUGCCGGGAGGGGAUUUUGGGACGUUUUCUCUGGAAGCCCAAGUGGCUCACAAGGGCAAGGGAGGAGCUGUCACGGCAGGGGAGCAGCGCUGAAGAUGGCUCUGGUGUCAUGGGCUGGCGCCGGCUGGGUUGGAGCUUUCGGUCCCACACAGAUGUACCUGUCAGUCUGCUCUGGCUUUUCCAAGCAGCCAGCGGGCUUCCCAAAUCCCUCUCCAGAUCCUGCCAGCUAUGUUUUGGCUCCAUCAUAGCUGUAGGCUCCCCAACCUGCAGGAUCACACCAGGGGAGGAGGUGAGCUGUACCCAGAACCACGCGAGCACCUGCGACAAGGGAUGGGCUCUGCUGCCUUUAACGCACGCCGGUGCUGGGAGGGACUACAGAUCCCAGCAUGCUGCUUCCUGCCUGCCUCCUCCCAUGCCCUACCUGGCAGGGUGCAGGCAGGGAUGUUGUAGCUGGCAGCAGUGCUGGCAGCUCAGGGGCAUGCCCCGGGGGGGCCAGGGGCUCAGCACCAGGAGCCCCACUGCAGAUGAAGCCCUGGGAGAGGUGCUGGAGCACCCCAUGCUGCGCAGCCCGGACUGGAGAAGGACAAGGCAGGCCUGUGGCUUCUCCGGGGUGGCUAAUCCCACUCUGCCCAAGGAAGGGGGGGUGGACCGGGGAGGGAAGGUCCCUUCUCCGGGCUCCCUGGGCUGCUUCUCUGGGGCUGUCUAUGGGGGGAGCAACACCAGGGCGGUGGCAGGGGCUGGGUAG
rnacentral:lncRNA from 1 species